rnacentral:rRNA from 1 species
CGAUGGCGACCGGCGCACGGGUGAGUAACACGUAUCCAACCUGCCGAUGACUCGGGGAUAGCCUUUCGAAAGAAAGAUUAAUACCCGAUGGCAUAGUUCUUCCGCAUGGUAGAACUAUUAAAGAAUUUCGGUCAUCGAUGGGGGUGCGUUCCAUUAGGUUGUUGGCGGGGUAACGGCCCACCAAGCCUUCGAUGGAUAGGGGUUCUGAGAGGAAGGUCCCCCACAUUGGAACUGAGACACGGUCCAA